CUGAACUUGCACAUUCUCCAUUCUUUCUUUCCUUCAUUUUCUUUCUUCCUUUCUUUCUUUGUUUAUCUUGAUCCCUAUGAAUUAAAGAGAGAUAGAGAGUGAAAACUAAAGAGAGAGAUCUCCAAACAAGAGCAAAGAAUUUCUGAGGUGCAAAAAGAUUACGAUUGUGCAUUCCCUCUUUGUAAUUGCCUUAUUUGAAACCGCCUCUUGCACCAUCAAAAGCUAGAGCAUCUUUGCCAUCUUUGUCACAGUUGGCCAAUUGGGGACGAAGUUAAUUUCUGUGUUCUGAAAUUGAAGGCAGCUGGAUUUUCUUGAAACAGGAGGAUAGAGAUAACAAUAUAAAGAAUGGUAGCAGGAG
rnacentral:misc_RNA from 1 species